AGCAACAACAAGAGCAUUGCUACACUGGUAGCAUCUUCCGCAUCAUUCUGCUAUGUUUGUCGGAAAAGGGCCGUUCUUUAAAAUGUCCAUUUGAGCCCGAGUCAUGCGUCCAGAUUAAGAGAAGGAUAGAAGGUUUCAUGAAGGAGGAAGUGGCAAGGUGAAGAUAGCACCUGUAGAAAAGAUUGAGAUGGCGAGAAAGAAACCACUCUCUCGUCUUGGAUCACGGAGUAGUCUAAGGGCCAGUCUCUUUUGUGUGAAUGCUCAAGAAAGAGCCGAUAUUUCUUGAUGGUAAAUCAUUGACUUACUA